UUGCUCCUCAUCACUGAGAACCGC
rnacentral:siRNA from 1 species